rnacentral:misc_RNA from 1 species
UAAUAAGUGUUUUAUGGCACUUUUAAAUCCAUAUCCACCUUGUGUGCAAUGUCAGUCGAUCUUCUUCAUGAGAUCGACCAAACAUCAACCUUAUCUUUUAACCUUUGUCUGAAAAAUAUAUGAAUAACAAUUCAAAAUA